CUAGGAUUAGAUACCCUAUUAUUAUAAGCACCAAAAGGUAAUACUUCUUAGGAAACCUUUGUUCCUUGGCGGCCUUUCUCCUUCUCAGAGGAACUCGUUUUAUAAUCGAUGAUCCCCGCUAACUUUUACUCUCUACACGUUCCUAUACCGCCGUCUAAAGACAAAUGUAAAACCUAUAUCCACCCAGUCUUAUCUAAUAAGUCAGGUCAAGGUGGGGCCUUUAUAGAGGUUCCAAUGAGUUACUCAUUUUCACUAAAAAUGGAUGAUAAACUAAAGUUUUUAAGAAAAAGGAUUUAUUCGUAUUUCUCUCUUAAAAAGACAGAUUGAACAAGCAAAAAAAGGUGUACAUAUCGCCCGUCACCCUCUUCCAAAGACGAGAUAAGUCGUAACAUAGUAA
rnacentral:rRNA from 1 species